rnacentral:rRNA from 1 species
AACAUCGCCUCUUGCUAAAUUAUAAGAGGUCCCGCCUGCCCAGUGAUUUAAUUUAACGGCUGCGGUAUCCUGACCGUGCAAAGGUAGCAUAAUCAAUUGUCCCUUAAAUUAGGACUAGUAUGAAUGGCACCACGAGGGUUUAACUGUCUCCCCCUUUUAAUCAAUGAAAUUAAUCUUCCCGUGAAGAAACGGGAAUAAAAAUAUAAGACGAGAAGACCCCAUGGAGCUUCAAACUUAUUAACACUUAUUUUUUAUUAUAACACCUUAAUUAAAUAUUAUGCUCUAAUAGUUUUUGGUUGGGGAAACCCUGGAGAAAAAUAUAUCCUCCAGAUUGAAAGGAUUAAUAACCCUUAUACUAGAAUUACAAUUCAAACAAACAAAAAUUUGACAAAACUGACCCAGAAUUAACUGAUCAGUGAACCAAGUUACCCUGGGGAUAACAGCGCAAUCCAUUUCAAGAGUCCAUAUCGACAAAUGGGUUUACGACCUCGAUGUUGGAUCGGGAUAUCCUAGCAGCGCAGCCGUUGCUAAGGGUUCGUUUGUUCAACGACUAAUACCCCACGUGAU